GGCCUCUCAGGAUCAUACCUGGAGAGUUUCCAGUACUCUACCAGUCUCGACUACGGAGGGAGAGUCAAGCAGAGGCAAAUCCACUCCAUUCCUAGCUCAGGUAGUGGCUAGCGAGGGGAAGGCAAUCUGCUACAAGU